GACGAACGCUGGCGGCGUGCUUAACACAUGCAAGUCGAACGAUGAAGCCUUAGCUUGCUUUGGUGGAUUAGUGGCGAACGGGUGAGUAACACGUGAGCAACGUGCCCAGGACUCUGGAAUAACCGCGGGAAACCGUGGCUAAUACCGGAUAGGUGCCGAGGCCGCAUGGUCAUCGGUUGGAAAGUUUUUGCGGUUCUGGAUCGGCUCACGGCCUAUCAGCUUGUUGGUGGGGUAAUGGCCUACCAAGGCGACGACGGGUAGCCGGCCGGGGAGGGUGACCGGCCACACUGGUACUGCGACACGGCCCAGACUCCUACGGGGGGCAGCAGUGGGGAAUAUUGCACAAUGGGCGCAAGCCUGAUGCAGCGACGCCGCGUGGGGGAUGACGGCCUUCGGGUUGUAAACCUCUUUUAGUAGGGAAGAAGCGCAAGUGACGGUACCUGCAGAAAAAGCACCGGCUAACUACGUG
rnacentral:rRNA from 1 species